rnacentral:rRNA from 1 species
CCUACGGGGGGCUGCAGUGGGGAAUAUUGGGCAAUGGGCGCAAGCCUGACCCAGCAACGCCGCGUGAAGGAAGAAGGCUUUCGGGUUGUAAACUUCUUUUGGCAGGGACGAAACAAAUGACGGUACCUGCAGAAUAAGCUCCGGCUAACUACGUGCCAGCAGCCGCGGUAAUACGUAGGGAGCAAGCGUUAUCCGGAUUUACUGGGUGUAAAGGGCGCGUAGGCGGGAAUGCAAGUCAGAUGUGAAAUCUGGGGGCUCAACCCCCAAACUGCAUUUGAAACUGUAUUUCUUGAGUGAUGGAGAGGCAAGUGGAAUUCCUAGUGUAGCGGUGAAAUGCGUAGAUAUUAGGAGGAACACCAGUGGCGAAGGCGACUUGCUGGACAUUAACUGACGCUGAGGCGCGAAAGCGUGGGGAGCAAACAGGCUUAGAUACCCUUGUAGUC